UAGGCUUCUUGGAGACUCCUAGGUCUA
rnacentral:piRNA from 1 species